UACAGAGGGUGCAAGCGUUAAUCGGAAUUACUGGGCGUAAAGCGUGCGUAGACGGUUAUGUAAGUCAGGUGUGAAAGCCCCGGGCUCAACCUGGGAACUGCGUCUGAUACUGGAUGGCUUGAAUUCGGGAGAGGGAUGCAGAAUUCCAGGUGUAGCGGUGAAAUGCGUAGAUAUCUGGAGGAAUACCGGUGGCGAAGGCGGCAUCCUGGACCGGUAUUGACGCUGAUGCGCGAAAGCCAGGGGAGCAAACGGG
rnacentral:rRNA from 1 species